rnacentral:rRNA from 1 species
CCCCUAGUAACUGCGAGUGAAGAGGGAAAAGCUCAAAUUUAAAAUCUGGCAGUUAUUUGCUGUCCGAGUUGUAAAUUGGAGAAGUGUUAUCCGCGCUGGCCUGUGCAUAAGUCUCUUGGAAAAGAGCAUCAUAGAGGGUGACAAUCCCGUCUUUGGCACAGACUACCAGGGCUUUUGUGAUGCGCUCUCAACGAGUCGAGUUGUUUGGGAAUGCAGCUCCAAAUGGGUGGUAAAUUCCAUCUAAAGCUAAAUAUUGGCGAGAGACCGAUAGCGCACAAGUACCGUGAGGGAAAGAUGAAAAGAACUUUGGAAAGAGAGUUAAACAGUACGUGAAAUUGUUGAAAGGGAAACGCUUGAAGUCAGUCAUGUCUCACUGAAAUCAACCUGGCACUUGUCUGGUGUACUUUCUGUGGGACAGGUCAGCAUCAGUUCUGAUUGCUGGAAAAAGGCCUUGGGAAUGUGACAUCUUUUCGAAGAUGUGUUAUAGCCCUCGGACCACAUACAGUGGUUGGGACUGAGGAACUCGAUGUGUGGUGUGCUCUGGGGUUUCGGUCCUAGAGUCAUGCAUUCAAGGAUGCUGGCAUAAUGGCUUUAAUCGACCCGUCUUGAAACACGGACCAAGGAGUCUAACAUGCAUGCAAGUGUUUGGGUGGAAAACCCAAGCGCACAAUGAAAGUGAAAGUUGAGAACCCUGGUCACAAGGGGUGCAUCGACGCCCGGUCUUGAUCUUUUAGUGACGGAUCUGCGGUAGAGCAUGUAUGUUGGGACCCGAAAGAUGGUGAACUAUGCCUGAAUAGGGUGAAGCCAGAGGAAACUCUGGUGGAGGCUCGUAGCGAUUCUGACGUGCAAAUCGAUCGUCGAAUUUGGGUAUA